rnacentral:misc_RNA from 1 species
CGAUUCUAGAGUAAUUCACCAAAAAUAAUAUAAAAUGAUUGUAAAAGCAAUGCGUAUGCUUUUAACGCACACGGCGAGUGGAAAAUGUGAGCAGCUUUAACGCCGCAUAACCAACUGGAUACCCAAUACCGAAGAUGGUAUUUUUCGUAUAGUUAAUUUGACAAAGUUUCCAAAUGGCGUUCAAUUAUGGGAAUUUGGCCGAUAAUAUGUUACCAGUUUUUGGGAGCAUGCCAAACGGCGUCAGCUUGCCAAAUCAUCCGAAUUUUAUCAAUCAAUUGGCGGCUGCCAUUACAACCGCCACGGUGGGUGUUGCCACGCCCACAGCAACAAAUAGCAGCAGCGGAACAGCUCAAACAACCGCUGCAACACCAAAUAAGACAACAACAACAGCCAGCGGCAAGAUGAAGCCGCACAGCGCGCAGGGCAGUGCCCCAAUGGAUUUGGAGAAUGAGAAUGAAAUCGAUGACUCCGACGUGAUUGGGCCUGUCAAGGCCGGCGAUAAGCUACCGCCCGGCACAGCAUUAACGCUGCCCGAUGCCGCCCAGCAACUGUAUUUGAAUGGUCUGAUGCACACGCCACCCGGCUACUUGUACUUUCCGAGUGCACAGAACGCUGCAGCAGCGGCCGCAGCUGUUGUGGCAGCCACACCCAGUGGCUCAACAACUGCGUCAGGGAAUGCGAGCAAUUCGAAUGCCCAAAUGCUGAUGGAUCCCUCGGCAAUGAUGGCAGCUGCCAUGCAACAAAUGCAGCAUAAUUAUGCCGCUGCGGGCUAUGUGGCUGCAGCAACAGCGGCUGGCAUGCCCACCGAUGCUGCGGGAACAGGAUUGGAUGGCACUCUAGCAGCGGACGGCUCCACGGCUGGACUGAAGGAGGUAAUUAAGACAAAGAACUGCAUUUUGUUCCCACCCAAUCCGAAUGCGCCGCCACCCACAAUACGCGAACGUCCGCCCGGCUGUCGUACGGUGUUCGUGGGCGGCCUGCCCGAGAACAUUACGGAGGAAGUGAUACGUGAGAUAUUCGAAUCGUGUGGUGAGAUAACCACACUUCGCAUGUCCAAGAAGAACUUUUGCCACAUACGCUAUCGCCAUGAGGCGGCCAUCGAUCGUGCCAUUUACCUAUCCGGCUACCGACUGCGCAUCUCCAGUCUAAAUGAGCCACCCAACUUUGGGCGGCUGCACGUGGACUAUGCGCAGGCGCGAGACGAUCAAUAUGACUACGAGUGCAAGCAGCGCCAAUUGCAACGGGAGCAGCGUCAUCGCGAACGGAUGUCAUUGGAUCGCAUGCGUUCGCAAUCGCCGCCGCCGAUACCACACUAUACAGAUCACGAGGCCACCGCGGUGGCGGAGCAUCUGCGCAAUAACGAGACAUUUGUAAAAGCCAUACAAACAAUUACCACAUGGCUGGAGCGUGGCGACUGCACCAAGCGCAAUGCCAACGUCUUCUACUCCAUGAUACAGAGCACACACGCGCACGUGCGUCGCCUGCACACGGACAAACAGCAGCUGGAGGAGGAUCUGCGCAAGGCACGGGAAUGCUAUCGCAAGCAAAUGGGCACCAUGUCCACGCAGUGAACUGCGAACGGUCCAAAUCGACGACGAUGAAAUGGAAAUCUCGGACGAUGAACGCGACUACGACAAGCGCCCCAAACGUACCCGUUACGACAGCGAUGGACUCAAGGACGAAAAUGACUCGCUACGCUGUCAAUUGGAGGCCAUGCGCAAUGAGAUGUCUGUGGAGCGCAGCGAUUGCCAGCAGCGUGAGAAGCAGAUCAAAGUGUUGCAAGAGACCAUACGCAACAUGCAGACGCAGCUGUUGCAAACGAAGCUGCGCGAACAAAAGGACUCCAAAACCAUCGAGCAGCUCGAGCGUAACCUUAAGGAGGCGGGCGUUAAGCAGCUGCUGCUCAAGACAAAAAUCAAGGAGACUGCGGAUAAACUAAAAGACAGAGAAACCUACGUCUCGAACUCAUCGAAUGCUGAUUUCAGCAGCGGUGACUCGUGUAGCCGAAAUGCGGAAGAUGUGCGGUCGGCAGGGAAGAAGGAGUUUCCAUCUGUUGCUCUGGAUCUAGAAAUAAUCGAUAUUGAUAAAGUAGACGACGAUGUGCGCAUUAUCGAGCAUCAAAGCGGCGUUGUUGAAAUUCAUGAGAUCGAGGACGAUGAGAAGCUCGAGCCAACAACAGAACCACACAAAGCUAUUGACGAUGAAGCCAAGCAAUUGCCCA